AUUUAAUAAAAUGACGGAAUGAUUUUUUUAAAUGUAUGAACAGUAUAAAUAUUGACGAGCGUGCAAAUUUUUAUGGGAAAAAAUAUUUUUUUUUCUUAAUUUUUAAAGAUUUUGUCCACUUUAAAUACGGGCAACCUGUUAACUUCCAUUUUUAUUGUUUCAAAUUCCAAUGGUUUUCAGAAUUGGGGGUCCAACAAGACGACAGACCAAAAAUGCCAGCGAAUUGUUUUGGUUGUCGAGUUUUAGCAUUUCAGAGAAAUUGCACGGAAAUUUUUAUUUUUUAUAGGGAAUUUUUGUCGUAGUUUUGUUAUUUUUCAAACAACGGCAGGUUAAGAUGUUGAAGUACUUAAGAACCAUUAAACUUUUUCUCCCUCCGGUAACAAAAUACUAGAAAAUUUCUUAUUCCGUCAUGCGAAACCGGCGAUUAAAAAUAAUAAAUUUUAACAAAUGCGUAAUGCAAUUGCAUAAAAAUAUUACAAUAUUUAAAUCAGUUUCUUUUCAGUGCAGUUCUUUUUUUUUGUUUUUUGCAGCGGUAACUGGCGUUAUUCUUAAUUGGGAUAAUUUGCCUCGCAAUCGAUUUCGACAUUUUUCUAGGGUUUUCAUAAUUUAACUAUCUCGUAUUCCAGUUUACGACAUUUCUUCCACUUUGUUCGGUCGUUAUCUCCGAUGGGAAACUAGCGAGUGCCAAAAAAUAUCGGGGGAAGAGAAAAAAAAUUUCAUUCAGUAGCGUGCAUCUCGGAAAUUCGCUCGUAUAGUUUUUAUAUAAAAAAAUGCUCGAUCAUACGCAUUUAUUGCGGAAUAUUGGUUUUUUGGCGGAAUAACCGUUCCAUUUGAUUAUUGCGCGUUUUUUUUUUUUUUGCAGUUUUUACCGCCCAUUCCCAUUAUUACAUUCUUUUAUUUGCCGUCGCAUCGGAGUGCAUUGAAUAAUUUAUGCGUAGCGGUCGAGUUGCGUAACUGGUGACUUUCGUUCUCGGUUCCAUUAUCAUUCACGAUAAAUAAUUUUCGAAUAUGGUGCGAAUUUAUUACAUGAAUUUCAACAGUGGGCAAAUAUAAGAAAGCUCUGUUGUACUUUAACUCUCGUUAUUAAAAUGUUACCGUGCGAACUAGCUUCCAUAUUUUUUUUUUUUCCUGAGACGACGAUGAUGGAGACCGUUUCUCUGUAACCGUGAACUCGGCCUUGUUUUAUUACUUGGACGUGGAAAGGAGGGAGAGAAUUCUCGCUCGACUACACCCAUUCCGCUUCUUUUCAACAGAUAUUUGGCUUUCCAGCGGCGCACCGGCGCUUUCAGCCGUCAUUUAAGCGGCAUUUUUAUCAUCAGCGACCGUCCUUGGGCCUUCCCCAACCCAUUUAGGGUAGAAUGUAUCGAUUGAUCCGAUUUUCUCCCGGCUCGUAACCCCCUCAACAGUCGUCUCUCUAAAUGCUAAUAUUUAACUUUUCUGCAUUUUGACGACGUCAUCGGCAGCUAAAAAUAACCGUAGUAAACAGGCUCCAUCAGAUCUCAUCUGGCUGGUCAAAUUGCAUCUUUCUCUACCUUGUUCGUAUUUCUCCCAUACCGUCGACUGGUCGGACUUUAAAUACGCACCGAAUGGUUUUUGUUUUGUGUAUCCGAAUAUUUAUCAUCAGUAAAUUUACUCCAUUUUUAGCUUCUGAGUUAAAAAAAAAAUUAUUGUUUCUUGUGUUAUCUUUGAAAAACCGACGUUAAUCUGUGAUCUUCUCUGUCAAAGAGAUUGUCUGCAGUGUUUAAUUGGACCGUCUACUCAUCGGAUUAACAGCUCAAAUCUGGAAUUAAUCUACACUAUUUUCCGACUAGAAAUGCGGAUUUUCCACCUUUUCCCGGCGUCUUACUUAAUUGGGAAAAGUGGGGAAGUUUAGUCGUGCAACCAAAUCCGUGAUUGGAGUUUGGCGGUCUCCCCUUUUUUAUUAGUCUAGAAACCAUCGCUUAUUAAGGAAAGGAGGAAGUCUGGUCGGAAGAUGGUUUAUGUAGUCUCUGAUGAGAGCUAUAAACACCGAACGUGAUUGUCGCAACAAAUCCCCAACUUUAUUACGUCCCGGAAUAAAAUGGGAUAGGUUUACUUUCGAUGAAAGGUGGGCACGCGUAAUUACAGGCGGAACGUGCCACGUGCAUAAAAUUCGUCUUAAACGUGUCGUUUACUUAAAAGAAAGCUAAUUAUCCGAUUAGGAACUUCCGGAAAUCCGCCUUUCCUCGGGUGGAGACGUCCGUCUUCAUAUCGGAACGGAUAAAUUUGACUGUUCGAAAGCUGCCCAAACGCUUAUUUAUCGAUAAGAAGAAACGUAAUUGGGCCAGCCAGCGGGCGAUGGAAGAGCGUACCACGUGAUCUGGCGCCAAAUCAUCAAAAAUGCAUUUGAGAAGGACGGAUUUCAGUUUUCUCCAUCGAUUAACUGUCCCACGGAUGGUUUUGUCGUCGUCCGCCAGAUGGCGCCACGUAUCGAAGCUGGGGUUUCCUACCGACUUUUUCUGGAUCAAUCAAUGGCCCCGGUUAAUAAUUUAAGAUGGAAUGGUCCGACUAUAAAAAAAAAAAAAAAAAAAAUACGGCCUUAAAUUUGAUUCUGGUCUUUUUCGACAGCCGAC
rnacentral:lncRNA from 1 species